GAGGAAUAUUGGUCAAUGGGCGCGAGCCUGAACCAGCCAAGUCGCGUGAGGGAAGACGGUCCUAUGGAUUGUAAACCUCUUUUGUCGGGGAGCAAAAGACGCCACGCGUGGCGUUCCGAGAGUACCCGAAGAAAAAGCAUCGGCUAACUCC
rnacentral:rRNA from 1 species